AAAAAACGGGAUAUAUUAGUUAAAACCACUUUAUUCAUUUCAGUUUCUUGAAAUGAAGUAUUUGUGGUUAUUUUCUGUGCUGCUCCUAUUCAUCUGGGUGCAACACACUACAUGUGAGACUGAAGUACCUCCUGCGGCCGCUGAUCAUGGAGCAGGGGGUUCUGAGGGAGAAGGACUUGGAUCACCUCGCAGCUGGCAAAGUAUCUUAGGUCACAUAUUCGAUCCAUUUAAAAUGGGUGGUUAAUUAACACAAAUUUAUAAAUACAUGUUUAAUUAACCCAACAAUCCUUUUGUUCUAGAAUUGUAAAUUUUAAUUUGGAAACUUUCUAUAAAAUAGAAAUCUUAACCUUUUUAAAAUGUAUUGAAAUUAAUCAGGAUGUCAGUUCUUAGAUUUUAGGACUUAAUUUUAAGCAGCAAACUUAUUCAACUCAAUUGGGAAAACAUUUGUUUAUAAACUUUAUUCUUCACUCCAAAAUUAACAUACAAUAUAGUUUAGAAUUCUCGAAUCUAUUAUAAUUUAUUACAAAUUUAUUUUACAAUAAGAAUAUACUAAAAAAUGGUUUCUUUUGAAAUAUAGUCGAGUGAUUUUAUCAAAGUAGAUUUCACUGUACAAGUGUAUCAAAAAGAAAUAUUAGAUAAAUAAAGCUCAGUCUAUUUUUGUCCAAGUAAA